AUGAGUUUGUUGCAAAACAUGACUUAACGAAGAUGAAUCAUGUGGUUUGUUCGAAGCCUAGGCAAGUCAACCUCUUCAGUUCCACCUUGAACGGGCCUGCUAUGAAUUGAAGAUGACAAAUGUGCUAUCAGCCAGCUGGACUUAUAUGAAUAUAAUUCAGGCCCAGACUGAGCAUGAAUUUAUGCACAAUAUUUCUGAGGAGGUCUGCUCUCAUUUACAUUCUGGAAAGUGCUCCGUUCAAUGAUAGCCAAAAAUGGUGUAAGAAAUUCACUACUUGUAGCACCAAUGCCAACUGCUUCAACAAGUCAUAUUCUUGGAAAUAACGAGUGUUUUGAGCCCUACACUUCCAAUAUCUACAGCCGUCGGGUUUUAAGUGGUGAGUUUGUUGUGGUGAACAAGCAUUUGCUGCAUGAUUGACAAUCUCACUAAGAGUAUAUCCCGCUAAUUGGAUCGGAUGAUGCAAGAUACACUUUGUUGGGAGUGCCCAACUUUGAAUAAUGAAGCGACUUCUUUUUUUGAUCGAGCCAAGCUUAUAAAAAGUGAAUUUGGAUCGAGCCGGUGAGAUAUCGAAGGAGAUUAUGUCGGUUCGAAAGACGAUCGAGCAGGUGAAGCUUGUGACGAUGGAAGCUCAGAUGGUUGAAAAUUCUUUAGGCAUACAUGGAGAUGAGAUAUUGUAUGUUGGCGAUCGUAUAUAGCCAGAUGUGAAUCAAACUGUUACCAAGGGUGAAUAGCAGCUCAUCGAAGGUGAAUGGCAAAUGACUUGGAGUUCACAG
rnacentral:lncRNA from 1 species